UGCACCUAUACGUACACACACACACACACACACACGUACACAUCCUGCAGCGAGAGCAUCACAUCUCUGCCAGGUCACAGUGAGGGUGGAGUUAGGGCUGAGGUCACAGUGAGGCUGUGAGGGUGGAGUUGGGGCUGAGGUCACAGUGAGGCUGUGAGGGUGGAGUUAGGGCUGAGGUCACAGUGAGGCUGUGAGGGUGGAGUUAGGGCUGAGGUCACAGUGAGGCUGUGAGGGUGGAGUUAGGGCUGAGGUCACAGUGAGGCUGUGAGGGUGGAGUUAGGGCUGAGGUCACAGUGAGGGUGGAGUUGGGGCUGAGGUCACAGUGAGGCUGUGAGGGUGGAGUUAGGGCUGAGGUCACAGUGAGGGUGGAGUUAGGGCUGAGGCCACAGUGAGGGUGUGAGGGUGGAGUUAGGGCUGAGGUCACAGUGAGGCUGUGAGGGUGGAGUUAGGGCUGAGGUCACAGUGAGGGUGGAGUUAGGGCUGAGGUCACAGUGAGGCUGUGAGGGUGGAGUUAGGGCUGAGGUCACAGUGAGGCUGUGAGGGUGGAGUUAGGGCUGAGGUCACAGUGAGGCUGUGAGGGUGGAGUUAGGGCUGAGGUCACAGUGAGGCUGUGAGGGUGGAGUUAGGGCUGAGGUCACAGUGAGGGUGGAGUUAGGGCCGAGGCCACAGUGAGGCUGUGAGGGUGGAGUUAGGGCAGAGGUCACAGUGAGGGUGGAGUUAGGGCCGAGGCCACAGUGAGGCUGUGAGGGUGGAGUUAGGGCAGAGGUCACAGUGAGGGUGGAGUUAGGGCUGAAGCCACAGUGAGGCUGUGAGGGUGGAGUUAGGGCUGAGGCCACAGUGAGGCUGUGAGGGUGGAGUUAGGGCUGAGGCCACAGUGAGGCUGUGAGGGUGGAGUUAGGGCAGAGGUCACAGUGAGGGUGGAGUUAGGGCCGAGGCCACAGUGAGGCUGUGAGGGUGGAGUUAGGGCAGAGGUCACAGUGAGGGUGGAGUUAGGGCCGAGGCCACAGUGAGGCUGUGAGGGUGGAGUUGGGGCUGAGGCCACGGUGUGGGUGGAGUUAGGGCUGAGGUCACAGUGAGGCUGUGAGGGUGGAGUUAGGGCUGAGGUCACAGUGAGGGUGGAGUUAGGGCUGAGGUCACAGUGAGGCUGUGAGGGUGGAGUUGGGGCUGAGGCCACUGCACUUUACUGAGUGCGCUCACGAGCUCAGAGUUUAACGGCUUAUAAAAACCGCUUUGCGCAGCUGCCAGGUCAUGUGACUGAACCCUGGAUUACACUUCCUCCUCCACUGUGUCCUGUCCCAAAUUAAACAUUAAACUGCUUUAAUAGGCUGUGUAUUGCAGGUCAAAUGAGUGUCAGGAUUGAGUUGAGUUGGGGUUGAGUUUUGAGUGUGGAUUGCUGUCUGACCCACCCCCCCCCCCCCCUU